CUACGGGACGCUGCAGUGGGGAAUUUUGCACAAUGGGGGAAACCCUGAUGCAGCGACGCCGCGUGCGGGAAGAAGGCCUUAGGGUUGUAAACCGCUUUCAAUUGUGAAGAAGGGAUGAGAGUUAAUAGCUUUCUGACUUGACGGUAGCAUUAGAAGAAGCACCGGCUAAGUUUCGUGCCAGCAGCCGCGGUAAUACGAAAGGUGCAAGCGUUGUUCGGAUUUACUGGGCGUAAAGAGAUCGUAGGUGGUUUAUUAAGUCGGAUGUGAAAUCCCGGAGCUCAACUUCGGAACUGCAUUCGAUACUGGUAGGCUAGAGUUCGGGAGGGGAAAGCGGAAUUCCGUGUGUAGCAGUGAAAUGCGUAGAUAUACGGAGGAACACCUGAGGCGAAGGCGGCUUUCUGGACCGAUACUGACACUGAGGAUCGAAAGCGUGGGUAGCAAACAGGAUUAGAUACCCCAGUAGUC
rnacentral:rRNA from 1 species